UAGUAAGCUACAUUUUAUAUAUAUACACAUAUUAGCAGCAAAUUAAAUAUAAAUGCAUUCUUGCGACUUCUAUUAUGAAUUUAUCAGGCCUCUUAUCGUGAUAUAUCUUGCAGGUAAAUAUUUUGGCGUACACUUCAUCGGAAGUUAACACUGGUUUGCUCCACAGAGCACUCAUGUGACCAAAGUUUCGUCAUAUGUUAACUCUCUAUCUCUCAAAUUUUAAAGACGUUGAAACAAAAGAGAAAAUGAAUCAACACUCACUUUUUCUGCUCAACGUCAUUCUUCUCCAACCAGCUUUUCACCUUCUCCGCUUCCUUUGGCACCUUAAUAAGAAACAGAUAAAUAAAUGCAAUUUCAGCAGUGCUCGCCAACAUGUUUCAAAAGAGAGCUGUGUGUGUGUAUUCUUUUACUUAAGGAUGAGGUGUUUUUGAGCGUUGUCAACUGCUACUGGUCGUUCUGUAAGCUCCUCUGACCUGUACAUAGAUUUGGAAAAUGGUUUGUGAGAACAUUUUCAAGAAGCUCAGGUUCGAUCUAAAUAGGGGCAGAAAACAAACUGCAAAGAUAUGGGACUGCCAAUGGCUUUUACUGAGUCAAGUCACCCCGGAAACUCUGUGGCAUUAGCAUCUUCUCCGUCCAUGUAAAGACAAUCUUGCACCUGAAAGUACACAAGACACUAAUCACUGUCGAACGCUUGAACUCAUCGUUGGAACCUAUUGGUAUACAUAGAGUUCGGAAGAAAAUUGUUACAUGCCUCAUCAAGCUUCUCAACAAACGUUUUGCGCUCUUCUUGGGUGGAAACCUUUUCAAAUUCGGGUGUUUCUAGCUGUACAAUGACCAAAAUAAAACCAAAGAUCUGAGUCUUCAGAAGAAUGCUAACUAAAAACAUCAUAAUAGGUAAAGUGAAAGCAAAGAUUUUAGCAAUAAAAGAACAAUGAAGUAGCCGAGAUAGUGAUCUGUACCUUCUCUUUGGUAGCAUAAACAUAAGAUUCAAGGUUGUUUUUCAAACCAGGCGUUCUUCUUCUUUCUUAUCUUUCUUGUCCAAGGCUUCUAAUUUUAUCUAAGCUUCAUCAAGAGACUCUUUCGUAAAAGGUGCUCCAGGGCCAACAGUUUUCUUGUUAAAGGUUUAUAAACACAUUCGGUUAGUUUAAUGUUUGCUGGGCAGAAAUAGUAACGUGUCUUGAGAUGUUGUCAACCUUACCAGCUGCAUGAUCUAGAGGAAGAAAAAAAAGAAACAAAUACAAUACUGAUCUGGAGUAUGAAUCUCGGUGGACAGGAAGACAUUCAACAGAAUCUUAACUAUACAAUACCACCGAAAACCACUUCCAACAAUAGAUGAUUCAUCGUUGGCUUUAGUUCAGUUAUUACAGAAAAUAUAAGAACAAAAAAAAAGAACAAAAUUUGUAACGAUGGAAGUUUCAAAUACAAAAUUUCAGAAGAACAUAUAGUAAUAUUUUUUU